UAGGGCAGGCAGUGCACAUUGGUGGCUUGACAAGAAUUGACUUUAUUAAAGCCUCUAUUGAAACAAUAUAUGUAACAGUUUGGGCAUCACCAAAAUGUUUCUCUUCACAUGGGAAAAGUAGAAAAUGCUGAAGAGGUUUGGGGUAAUCAUGUUGGUGUCAGGUUGCAGCCUCCCAUUGGCAAUAAACGCGCUGCUGACUUAGGCACAUGGCAAGAAAUGGAAAUUAAGGUAUCUGGAACUAGUUGGGAGGUCAACAGUAUUGACAUAGCGAUAGCUGGCUUAGGUUGGUAUUCUCUGUGCCUCAAAGGGGAAGCAACCAUGAAACUGUGGACCUUUGAUGGUGUUGAAGUAACCUUAAGAGAGCCAUUGGUCCUUGACCAGGCCCGGUCCCUCGAGAAACCUGGUUUUGGUUAACAAGAGCCAUCUCUGAUGCUAUUGGCAACCAAACCAAACUUGAAGCUCAAAAAAAGACAAAAACUUGAUGAUCAAGAUACAGAUUUUGUGGGGGCAGGUUUCGAACUAUCACCUUGAGCAGAAAUUUUUAAUAUCAUUGCAAGAGUACUUUCAGGUGAAAAUAGAAGAUGUAACUGAAUUUGACAUGUUGCAGAGACAAUAACAUGUUUUUAGCUAGAAGUUUUUUGUGCCGGUCUUCUCUUUGCUAGUUGGUGUGAGAACCAACUUCCAAUUUAUAAAUAGAGAAAGUAGAGAUAAAUGUAACCCUUCUUGUUUAAAUGUUAUGUUAAUUGAUUUUGUAGUAUG